CACUGGCAAGAUUCCUUCCAGCCUUGGGCUUGUGCAAACUUUGGAGGUCCUGAACUCAUUGAAUGGGCAUGUUCCUUGAAAUCUCAACAAUCUUUCAGAUGUUACUGAGCUGUUGUUGUCCAACAAUAAUUUGACUGGUCCCAUGCCCAACCUUACUGGCAUGAACCUAACUUGGACAGGAGUGUUGUAGUUGUCGACUGCUUCAGCAUUAAUGAGUUACGCAGAUGUAUUCGGAGGUUCCACUGAGUGUGAUACCAACAUAGGAUAAUUCAUUCAUUGUGAACAAGCGAGGGUUUUGAAAACAACCAGCUUAAUGGCAGCUUGAUAUUGGCAUCAGGCACAGCAACCAGCUGCAGUUCAUCAAUUUUCAGAACAAUUUAAUUUCUAUUUACACAGUUAGAACAGAUGCAAGCAGCAUUGGCUUAGCGCUUGCAGGUAAUCCAAUUUGCAGGACUUGGGGAGAAGGAGAAGAUUGUACAGUUUUCCAACUGAGUUCCAAUUGUUCAACACCACCAAAGAACUGUACUUCUGUUUCUUGUGGUUCAGAUAAGAUUUCCAGCCCCACCUGCCAAUGUGCAUAGGGGAAGUCUAAUCAAUCGAACAGGAACUUCUACGACUGGAUCCUUUUUUGGGCCUUACGUCUUUAUUGCUGAUCGGCAUCAGAACUUUGCAGGAGAACCUACAGGAACAGAGAAUAAAGGACCAAACAACAGAGGAAAAGGACCAAACAAUACCGGAUCAAACAAGUUAAGAAUCAAUGGCAUUAUCAUUGGAACAACAACUGGUGGUUGUGCCUUUUUGAUACUGUUAGUCCUUGCAGGGUCUCUUGCAUAUCGUUGGAAGAGGAGUGGAAAGAAUGAAUCAAACGAAAUGUGUUGGUACUUAACACAAGUCUUUACAAGGUACACUAGAAUUCACAACUGAGAUUGAGCUUCUAUCAAGAGUCCAUCAUAAAAAUGUU